rnacentral:tRNA from 1 species
GCCGGAGUAGCUCAGGUGGUCAGAGCGACGCUCUCGUAAAGCGUAGGUCAGGGGUUCGAAUCCCCUCUCCGGCUCCC